UUGAAAAGUUGAUUUAUCUACAAAAGUUCAAGAAAAAUACAGAAAUAUUUUUGUAGAAAUAAGCGUUUUUUAUUCAAAGAAAAUAAUCAGAAAAAAUGAACUUUGACUUUUUGUCCUCAGAAUUUUUGUCCGUGACUUUUUGUCAUGUGACUUUCUGUCCUACAUUCAAUGGAUCAACCCCAUAAUUUCCAGUAUGCCCCCC
rnacentral:lncRNA from 1 species